AAUUAAUUGAAAUUAAAAUAUAAUGAAAUUUUCAUGAAUUAUAUUUAUAAUUUAUUAAAUUAUGAAAAUAAAAAGUGUGUGUGUGUAUUGUAGACUAUAGAUAAUUUCUUUUUCCUUUUAAGACACUUCAAUCGUAUUGGUUGUUUGAAUAUUAUAUCAAAAUUAGUACAAAAAUACUAAUAAUAACUCAAUGCAUAAAACUAAGAUGACAAAAUCUAUGAACGAUAAUUUUUUUUUUUUUAUGUAGAGAUAAUUUAUGCAUGAAGUUUUUUUUAUGCACACAUAUGCAAGAAUAUUUUUCUUUGUUUAAAAAAUUUUAGUCAACUACUUAUAAAUAUAUUAAUUGAGUUUUUUUUUAUAUAAUCAGAAGUUACUAUUAUAAUUAGAGCCAAAGUAAA
rnacentral:misc_RNA from 1 species